UUCCAAAAAGAAAAAAAACUGAGUGUUAAUUAACAAAACGUGAACUUUAGUCAGUUGAAAUAAUGGACCCAAUUCUGAUCGUGACUGAAUUGUGCCAUAUUGCCUGCAGCUAAUGACACUUUCGGUUUCCUAAUCGAAGAAAGUAAGAAGUUCGAUUCCGUACGAUACUUAAGUGAAAUCAUUUUGUCGUUUGCUAAUUUAGUCAUCAGUCUUCUUUUGAGACGCGAGGUUAUUGUGUAUUAAAUAGAUUUUUAAGGACUUUAUCAUGAACGUUCUCUCAUCAGCAGUUUUAGCUAUAAGUUUUAUUUAUGUUUUUGGAAUUCACGCUUCUAAUUUAACACAGUAUAAUCAUAGUGAGAGUGAUAUUUUAGUGCGAAAAGCUAGAUGGCUGCCCUUGAUUUAUCCUAGAGCCAAUCCUACUCGAAUACAGAUGAUCGUAGGCUUUGGUGUACCAGUGGAAGACCUCAAAGUAGAGUCUGUGGUAACGGGUUAUGUCUUAAAGGCUCACUAUUACUUGCCAUACUCCGUCAAGCAGUUAAGGACCAAGGAUGUGCAUAAAAUCUCAGCCCGAAGGCUGCCGCAGAAUGCCACAAUCUUCGAUAAGGUGAUGCAGAUGUCUGAACAAAAACUGGGCUUGGAUCCAAAUAUCCUGGAGGAGGAUCUCCAGGCUUGGGGCAGUUAUCGCUGGUCGGUCUACGAGGCUUUUACGGCUUUGGCCAUUCGCAUGAAGCUAAAUGGAAGGGUUUGCGUUCUGAAGAGCAUCUGCGAAAGUGCGACGGCUCCCUUCGACGAUCGAAAUGGUUUGCUGGGCGAAGUGCUUCACAUCCUGCUCACACCGUCUAGUUCGGUGGAUCCGCUGUCGGAACACUCGGACAACGAUUACCUGCAGGCCGAGCGAUUGGGAGCAGCUGGUAGCGAUUGCGAUCAGGUGUAUCCGAGGUGUCCCACAUCCCUGCUGGAGCACUUCAGUGAUGUGCAUCAUCUGGGCAGCGAGUUCCUUAGCAUGUUGGGCUGAAGCGGCAGCUUGGUGAAGCCUUUAAAUUGUGAUAUUGAUAUAUAUAAAUUAAUUAUUAAGGGGUUUUGGUACUGGAAUGCACACACUUGCUUGGAAAACAUUUAAGUAAUAAGUUAAAAUUAAAUUUAAAAUACACUCCUUGAUUUUAGGAACAUUGACUUAAUCUUAGCAACAAUUUCCUUAAAUGUUGUAUGGAAGGCUCAAAUUUAAGGCAAUUAUUCAUAAAACCUAAGCAAUUUUUCCCAAAAUCAAGGAAUUUAGUUUUCUGAGUGUAGGUAUAAUAUAUUACCUAUAAACAAAUUUCAAAUUAAAAUUAUUCUUGGUAAUCUUUGUUCAAAACUCAAAUGGAAAUAAGAUUUCACUCGGCUAUUAAUUAGUUUUUUAAUCUUAACUUCUAUAGGAACUUUUUUUUUAGUUUUUUGAAUAUUGUUUUUAUUCCUAUUUCCCAAACUUAUUAUGUAGUAAAAUUAGUUGAUUGUCAGUUUCCGUAUAGGGGCUUUCUCGGCUCUGAGAACGGUGGUGGCCUUUGGCACUUCCUCUCCGGUUGAUUUCAUCGGCAAGGGCGUAAAAUUUAUGCAAAUAUCCACAUAAUAACUCUUUUUGUUCUCCUGUCCUGGCCUCAUCAUCAUCUUCGGAUAUUCCUCCACGCUCGGGUGGUCUUUUCUCCUCUCCAGCUAUCAAAGCGUACGCAUCUCCCGUCUUUAAGGCCUAUUGUCUUCUAAUUCAAUAAUUACAGCCCGAGCUUUGGCUACCGGGGAAUACCCAGACCCAGACCCACCACCGUCUUGGGAUCGCCUCGUGUUUUUCUCCAUGGUACCUGGUACAAAUAGGCGUUUAAAUGCAAAUGUCUGCGCUGUAAUUAAUACGCAUAAUACGCGUAUUAUGCUAAUGCCAAUGUCAUAAUGACUUGAGGAAACCCGAAAAGAAAGACGAAAAUAUGCAUUUCACACUCACAUUCGGGGUUCCUCAGUUGGGCUCAGUCAUAUAUUCAUCACUGGCGGAGCUGCAUAGUUAAUGCCCUUACGUACUAAUUAGCUUUGACAAAAUGUAUACACAAUCAAAAACAAAGCUACUAAAAAUUAGUAGUCGAGUCGAGGGGACUUUCUCUAACGAAGCACCAGUUCCCAGACAAGUGCCUCCACUGUCUGCGAUGACAAAGUCCCGAUAAGAGUUGGAAUAUAUUUUGACAGGAGUCAGACUGAGAUCGGGAUCAUGGGCAUCCAAACAUAAACUAGAGGCGAGAUGCACCUUUCACAAUUUUCAUGUUCUGUUGUGAUUACCCUUAACCCCUACGGAUCCCCACAUUUUCAGUUGGGUGGCGGGGGGUAGGGACAAUAAUUUUCAUUUUCAUUGCCUUUCUUUGGAAACAAUUUGUAGGAACAUGCGACUUAACGAAGUAAUCAGAGGCCAACUCCGAGGAGCGGGGGCCAGAUGCUUAUCCGAUGCCAGAAAAACCAGCCAGCCAGUAAGCCAGCCAGGCAGACAGUCAGACAGCCAGCAAGCGACAACUAUUUUAUGGCCUUAUGUGAGGAGGAUGCUGCUAACCCAUCCUUUAUUCUGCUGGCUUUAUAUGGCUGGGAUUGCUAUUUUUGGUAACCCUUUUGCUGCUGCCUCCGGGCUGAAAAGUGGGUUACCAUGGUCUGGAAUUUAUGCUGCGUAAUAAUUCUUGGUCCACAACUAAGUUGGUAAAAACAAUGUAACAAAUUGUUGUGCUCAUACCUGGAGGAGGGCGCUGCGUAUGCAAAUUCACCGACUGCAAAUGCCAACUAUGUCAGCUAUGGCUUCCCAAAUGGGGGGUGGCCACCGGGGUGACCCCGACCCCUGCGGCACUAACUAACCCACAGCCAGCCAUUAAUUUCCCAUCAACGGGUUUUUACGUUGCUUUAUCGCUCAAUUCGAAAUGACUUUUGAUGGCAUUUCCACUCGAUCUAUAUCGCUACUCGAGUUUAACGGGUACGGAUACCAAGUCCCCCCAGAGGGCCCCAUAAAAUUACACAGAUCUUAUCGCAGAUUUCGUAUAUUUCAUGCUAAUUAAAACGCCCAGAUAUUUGUUUAGCGAUAGACAAUAAUUAAUUGUGCUUAUUUCUUUUCUUCCCCCCAUUCUCCACCUGUUCCCAUCGCAUCCAAAAAAGAAAAAAAAACACAGUUCUGCUGAUUGAGCUGUAUCUAUGUGGCAUCAGUUUCAGUUGGUUUGGGGCGCAAUAAACCAAAUCAAACCGUGGGAUGGAGCCCUUUUGGCUACUCCCCCAGCACCACCAUGACGUAUGCACAUUGUCAUCAUAACUCUGGCCAUUGUCUCUGAUUCCGACUCCCAGAUAUAUGUGUAUUUUUCUUUGCUUUCGCAUAAUGCCGUCUGGGGAUGAGUGUGUUUUUGCGGGGGCGUGUGUGUGAACUGCAGUUUAUUAUUUAAACAACGUGACUAAAUUUACGUAGUGCCAAAGGAGAGCGAGACUCUGGGAGAAAAAAACACCCGCAGGUGGUAAAACAAUAAUAGUAAACGCUUGCACAAUGGAACAGGCCAUAAAAGGGGUGGCAAAUAUUAUAUAAUA